rnacentral:rRNA from 1 species
UACGGGGGGGGCAAGCGUUGUUCGGAAUUACUGGGCGUAAAGGGCUCGUAGGCGGCCCACUAAGUCAUACGUGAAAUCCCUCGGCUUAACCGGGGAACUGCGUCUGAUACUGGAUGGCUUGAGUUCGGGAGAGGGAUGCGGAAUUCCAGGUGUAGCGGUGAAAUGCGUAGAUAUCUGGAGGAACACCGGUGGCGAAGGCGGCAUCCUGGACCGAUACUGACGCUGAGGAGCGAAAGCCAGGGGAGCAAACGGG